rnacentral:rRNA from 1 species
AAAUUGAAGAGUUUGAUCAUGGCUCAGAUUGAACGCUGGCGGCAGGCCUAACACAUGCAAGUCGAACGGCAGCACAGAAGAGCUUGCUCUUUGGGUGGCGAGUGGCGGACGGGUGAGUAAUGUCUGGGAAACUGCCCGAUGGAGGGGGAUAACUACUGGAAACGGUAGCUAAUACCGCAUAACGUCGCAAGACCAAAGUGGGGGACCUUCGGGCCUCACACCAUCGGAUGUGCCCAGAUGGGAUUAGCUAGUAGGUGGGGUAAUGGCUCACCUAGGCGACGAUCCCUAGCUGGUCUGAGAGGAUGACCAGCCACACUGGAACUGAGACACGGUCCAGACUCCUACGGGAGGCAGCAGUGGGGAAUAUUGCACAAUGGGCGCAAGCCUGAUGCAGCCAUGCCGCGUGUAUGAAGAAGGCCUUCGGGUUGUAAAGUACUUUCAGCGGGGAGGAAGGCGGUGAGGUUAAUAACCUCGCCGAUUGACGUUACCCGCAGAAGAAGCACCGGCUAACUCCGUGCCAGCAGCCGCGGUAAUACGGAGGGUGCAAGCGUUAAUCGGAAUUACUGGGCGUAAAGCGCACGCAGGCGGUCUGUUAAGUCAGAUGUGAAAUCCCCGGGCUUAACCUGGGAACUGCAUUUGAUAACUGGCAGGCUUGAGUCUCGUAGAGGGGGGUAGAAUUCCAGGUGUAGCGGUGAAAUGCGUAGAGAUCUGGAGGAAUACCGGUGGCGAAGGCGGCCCCCUGGACGAAGACUGACGCUCAGGUGCGAAAGCGUGGGGAGCAAACAGGAUUAGAUACCCUGGUAGUCCACGCCGUAAACGAUGUCGACUUGGAGGUUGUGCCCUUGAGGCGUGGCUUCCGGAGCUAACGCGUUAAGUCGACCGCCUGGGGAGUACGGCCGCAAGGUUAAAACUCAAAUGAAUUGACGGGGGCCCGCACAAGCGGUGGAGCAUGUGGUUUAAUUCGAUGCAACGCGAAGAACCUUACCUGGCCUUGACAUCCAGAGAACUUAGCAGAGAUGCUUUGGUGCCUUCGGGAACUCUGAGACAGGUGCUGCAUGGCUGUCGUCAGCUCGUGUUGUGAAAUGUUGGGUUAAGUCCCGCAACGAGCGCAACCCUUAUCCUUUGUUGCCAGCGGCUCGGCCGGGAACUCAAAGGAGACUGCCGGUGAUAAACCGGAGGAAGGUGGGGAUGACGUCAAGUCAUCAUGGCCCUUACGGCCAGGGCUACACACGUGCUACAAUGGCGCAUACAAAGAGAAGCGACCUCGCGAGAGCAAGCGGACCUCAUAAAGUGCGUCGUAGUCCGGAUUGGAGUCUGCAACUCGACUCCAUGAAGUCGGAAUCGCUAGUAAUCGUAGAUCAGAAUGCUACGGUGAAUACGUUCCCGGGCCUUGUACACACCGCCCGUCACACCAUGGGAGUGGGUUGCAAAAGAAGUAGGUAGCUUAACCUUCGGGAGGGCGCUUACCACUUUGUGAUUCAUGACUGGGGUGAAGUCGUAACAAGGUAACCGUAGGGGAACCUGCGGUUGGAUCACCUCCUUA